CCAAAAACCUCAAAACACACAAUAUCCCCACAAAUCUUACAUGCCCUGAUAGCCCUGAUCUGGGUGACCAACAAAUCCCCAAAUCACCCAGAUCAGUUCAUGGGUACAGACAUUUUAUGGAAGUCAUAUUUUUUACCGACUGCGGGCAUGGUCCCAUAGCCGAAAAUAGUUCCAUAGAAUAGUGGCUAAGUGCCGCUGGGGGACCGACUGGGAACUAGAAGGUUUUCAUGCCGAAAAUAGUUUUAGGGAAUUCGGGCUAAGUCCCCUGUAAGGAAACCAAGUACAUUUAAACCUCAAUCGAGAGUUUCCUCCCGAACCGCCAGAGCCUAGUGAACAUAGCCCUCCGUUCGGUAGUUAUGAUAGACGAAUCCUAGUGUAGUUCCAAUAGUGCCACUGGAUAAUUCCCUCAGUAAAACACACAAAUCCCCAAACAGCAUACGUUGUCAGAAGAAGGGUACAAAGAUGAACUAAGGAUUUAUUGAUAGGCAUUCUCUUUUUAUGGGAUCCUGCCCAUGCAAGGGAGCCUCCCAUAUAAUUAACUGUACAACCAAUCAUAACAAUAUACAUACUGUACAUCUCCUCCCCUCAGAUAACCAAUUAACCCAAUUAAAACGGAAUACAUUUUCCCCAAAGUCUGGAUGUACUCUGGGGGACCAACAUAUGAAAAAUCAGUCGAUUCGGUUCAGCCGUUCGGGAGAUAUGGGACUUAGAAGUUUUGACCGACUGCACGGGCAAAGUAGCCGAAAACAGUUCCACGAAUUCUGGCCCUGCAGUCGGUCUUAGGUCGCGUGUAAAACCUCUCGAACGGCCGGCCAUCCAGAUGCCAUCCGGGGUUCGCUGAACUCCCCAUCUGUUAGUAAUUCUUUCUACCGAAUGCCCGGUCAUUCGGUAGUUUUAGUGGGGUUCUACCGAAGGUAUGGAGGAUUCAGCGGUGUUCGCCUAUUUGAGUGUCCGUUUUCAGUUCCAGACACUUGACGGCAAACACCUCUGUUCGGGAGUUAAAAUGGCCGCAAACACGUGGAAGUCCCGAAAUGGCGGCGGUGCAUACAGUUCGUGCAGAACUUUAGGCGAACAUGCCCAACAGGCAGGGAGGUAAAGUACUCAUAAUGGGCACCGGGGUGGUCUCGAUUCGGUAGUUUUACCUACCGAAUGCCAUAGGGGAAGAUAACAUGAAACAAGGGAAUACAAAUUGUCAUUUUGAAGCCACAUAGGGGGAUUUCUUCACAUCCCCCUAAAGUCUAUUCGCGGUUUUGGUCCAUGCGAACAAGAUGGCCACCACCUCGUGGUCGAAUUGCACUUCAAAUGGCUUUGGGAGUUCAAAGUGCCGCUUCAAAAGUUCGAAUUCUGGCCAUACAAGUACAAAAAGGCACACACGGUGGUUUUAACCAGGAUUUAACACAAGGGCCAUAGUCACAGGGCAAGAGGCUGACAAGUAUGCCCCUCCAAGAACGCGUGACGAGGUCCAGUUCAUCACAUAAUUUCUUUCCCCUUUUUUUUAACAUUUUUUGCAUUACUUAUUGAUUUUUUCUUUUUU